CCUACGGGCGGCAGCAGUGAGGAAUAUUGGUCAAUGGGCGCGAGCCUGAACCAGCCAAGUCGCGUGAGGGAAGACGGUCCUAUGGAUUGUAAACCUCUUUUGUCGGGGAGCAAAAGACGCCACGUGUGGCGUUCCGAGAGUACCCGAAGAAAAAGCAUCGGCUAACUCCGUGCCAGCAGCCGCGGUAAUACGGAGGAUGCGAGCGUUAUCCGGAUUUAUUGGGUUUAAAGGGUGCGCAGGCGGAAGAUCAAGUCAGCGGUAAAAUUGAGAGGCUCAACCUCUUCGAGCCGUUGAAACUGGUGUUCUUGAUGGAGCGAGAAGUAUGCGGAAUGCGUGGUGUAGCGGUGAAAUGCAUAGAUAUCACGCAGAACUCCGAUUGCGAAGGCAGCAUACCGGCGCUCAACUGACGCUCAUGCACGAAAGUGUGGGUAUCGAACAGGAUUAGAUACCCUUUAGUC
rnacentral:rRNA from 1 species